CCCUUAGAUGUUCUGGGCCGCACGCGCGCUACACUGACUGGUGCAACAAGUGUCGCUCCUUGGCCGAUAGGCCUGGGCAAUCUUUGAACGCCAGUCGUGAUGGGGAUAGAUUCUUGCAAUUUUUGAUCUUCAACGAGGAAUUCCUAGUAAACGCGAGUCAUCAACUCGCAUUGAUUACGUCCCUGCCCUUUGUACACACCGCCCGUCGCACCUACCGAUUGAAUGGUCCGGUGAAGCGUUCGGACCGUGGCCUUUGGACGGUUCGCCGUCUGUUGGCUGCGGGAAGUUCGUUAAACCUUAUCAUUUAGAGGAAGGAGAAGUCGUAACA
rnacentral:rRNA from 1 species